UACGUAGGUGGCAAGCGUUGUCCGGAAUUACUGGGCGUAAAGGGCGCGCAGGCUGCGUUACAAGUCAGCUGUUAAAUGCAUGGGCUUACCCCAUGAGUGCGGUUGAAACUGUAGUGCUAGAGUACUGUAGAGGCAAGCGGAAUUCCCAGUGUAGCGGUGAAAUGCGUAGAUAUUGGAAGGAACACCGGUGGCGUAGGCGGCUUGCUGGACAGUAACUGACGCUGAGGCGCGAAAGCCAGGGGAGCAAACGGGAUUAGAUA
rnacentral:rRNA from 1 species